AUAUUUGUGACUUGUGCAAGGCAUCAGAUAUUUCAUGACAGAAGUUUUAUUACUCUGGAGGAGCCAUAUCGGGAGAUGUGCCACACACUGAAGCGGUUGCUAAUCAUUGAUUAGCAGUGUGCAGCAGGCCUAUUGGUGUAAUGUUAGCUGUUUCAUUUACUUUGGGUUGGCAUCUGUAGAGUCUCUAUAUAGGGAUUUGGGCUGCACGAUUAAGCAUUGGCCAAUUAUCAAUCAAAGUAGUGUAGAAUGUGGCUGUCCCAUUUGACAGCUGUAGAUGCAGCAAUUACGAACUUUAUGUAGGCCUUCGUACUGCUGCAGAUAUCUUCAUUAUUUAAAGAAGAGCACACCUCCAAUCAAAAGCUGUUAACAUAUUUGGCGGUCCUGAUUGAGUUUAGUGUUCUUGGGACUUUCUCGAGGAGAAAUGGCAGCUGAGCUUGUCAAUUCAGUAACAAGCGAGAAACUGAAGGAAAUGGACUGGACAAAAAACAUUGAAAUCUGUGAAUUAGUUGUGCGUGA